UACGUAGGGUGCAAGCGUUAAUCGGAAUUACUGGGCGUAAAGCGUGCGCAGGCGGUUUUGUAAGUCUGACGUGAAAUCCCCGGGCUCAACCUGGGAAUUGCGUUGGAGACUGCAAGGCUGGAGUCUGGCAGAGGGGGGUAGAAUUCCACGUGUAGCGGUGAAAUGCGUAGAGAUGUGGAGGAACACCGAUGGCGAAGGCAGCCCCCUGGGUCAAGACUGACGCUCAUGCACGAAAGCGUGGGGAGCAAACAGG
rnacentral:rRNA from 1 species